AGUGAACGCUGGCGGCGUGCCUAAUACAUGCAAGUCGAACGGAGUGGCGCACGGGUGAGUAAUAUAUAGCUAACUUGCCCAUUACUCAGGGACCACAGUUGGAAACGAAUGCUCAUACCUUAUAGUAAUGGAUAGGGCUAUAUCGUAUCAGCUAGUUGGUAAGGUAACGGCUUACCAAGGCUCUGACGCGUAACUGGUCUGAGAGGAUUCUCAGUCACACUGGAAAUGAGACACGGUCGAGACUCCUACGGGAGGCAGCAGAUGAGAAUAUUGCUCAAUGGGGAGACCCUGAAGCAGCAACGCCGCGUGGAGGAUGACACUUUUCGGAGCGUAAACUCCUUUUCUUGGGAAAGCGGUAACCAAGGAAUAAGCACCGGCUAACUCCGUGCCAGCAGCCGCGGUAAUUC
rnacentral:rRNA from 1 species